rnacentral:misc_RNA from 1 species
UUUCCGUAGGUGAACCUGCGGAAGGAUCAUUACAGAGUUCAUGCCCUCACGGGUAGAUCUCCCACCCUUGAAUAUUUAUACCUUAGUUGCUUUGGCAGGCCGUGGAAACACCAUGGGCUCCGGCUUUUGCGUGCCUGCCAGAGGAAACAAACUCUGUUUUUAGUGAUGUCUGAGUACUAUAUAAUAGUUAAAACUUUCAACAACGGAUCUCUUGGUUCUG